UACGUAGGUGACAAGCGUUGUCCGGAUUUACUGGGCGUAAAGAGCGCGCAGGCGGUCGAUCAAGUCGAGUGUGAAAGCCCCCGGCUCAACUGGGGAGGGUCAUUCGAUACUGAUCGACUCGAAGGCAGGAGAGGGUAGUGGAAUUCCCGGUGUAGUGGUGAAAUGCGUAGAUAUCGGGAGGAACACCAGUGGCGAAGGCGGCUUUCUGGUCUGCUCUUGACGCUGAGGCGCGAAAGCUAGGGGAGCAAACGGG
rnacentral:rRNA from 1 species